rnacentral:rRNA from 1 species
UCGCGAAAACUUUGCAAUAAGCGAAAGCUUGACAGGGCUAUCCCGAGUGCCAUCCGCUGAGGAAGGCUUUUACCCAGUCUAGAACGCUGGGGGGAAUAAGGAGAGGGCAAGUCUGGUGUCAGCCGCCGCGGUAAUACCAGCUCUCCGAGUGGUGUGGAUGUUUAUUGGGCCUAAAGCAUCCGUAGCUGGCUAAGUUAGUCUUUUGUUAAAUCCACCGAAUUAAUCGUUGGGUUGCGGGGGAUACUGCUUGGCUAGGGGACGAGAGAGGCAGACGGUAUUUUCGGGGUAGGGGUGAAAUCCUAUAAUCCCGGGAAGACCACCAGUGGCGAAGGCUGUCUGCUAGAACGCGCCCGACGGUGAGGGAUGAAAGCUGGGGGAGCGAACCGGAUUAGAUACCCGGGUAGUCCCAGCUGUAAACGAUGCAGACUAGGUGUUUGGACGGCCACGUGCCGUUCUAGUGCCGCAGGGAAGCUGUUAAGUCUGCCGCCUGGGGAGUACGAUCGCAAGAUUGAAACUUAAGGAAUUGGCGGGGGAGCAACCG